AGAACCUGGGAAUUCAGAAGAGAGGACAAAAAGUGAAGUAGAGGACUGGAAGCACAGACAGAAAAUUUUAAAAGUGAAAGAAGUUCUCCUGGAGGUACAGGCAAACCUGUCUACUUUUGUGGAAAUUGACCUAAGAGACGAAGUUGAUGAGGUAAGAAAAUAAAACUACCAGGCCUGAAUGCACAGGAUUUUAUCUUAUUUAAAGUAUCAUUUCCCCAGAAGGGGCAGGUGUGAGAGUGAAAAGCAGCAUGGAAUAUAGAGUUCUCCUUCUGUUUCCAGAUAAGCUAUCAGCUGCCUGCUACCUCUCUCUGUGUUUCAAUUUCCUCACAAGUGUGAUGGCCUGAAUACGUCCUUACCUCAGACAGGUGGGGUAUGGUUUAAUACUGAGGUUUUUAAAGUGCACUGAAAUUCUUUGACUGGAAGGCCUUAUAAAAAUGUAAAGUGUUUACUGCUAUUAACAAGAUAAAAUGUGUGUAUUAUCCAAAGAGGCCAAGUGCAGUUCCUUCUUUCAUUACAGAAAUACAGUAAGGUGAUUCAGAGAACGAUAGACCUGUAAGUCUUACAUCUGUACCUGGCAAAUUGGUUGGAUCGACACUUAAGAGAGAAUAACAAAAUAUAUAGAAGACUGUGAUCUGAUAGGGUCUAACCCGCACAAAUGCAGCAAAGGAAAAUCACGUCUCACUAAUCUCUUAGAAUUCUUUGAACACAUCAGUAAAGUAGUGGAUAAAGGUGUGACACUUUGGGGUUCAGCCUGUGUCAGUAAGGGAUUGUGUCACCACCUGCCCUGUAACCUUGGAUGUUUCUGUGCAGUACAGCCUUAGCUUAGAGCCCUGCCACCAACAGCUGUCUCACAGUAUAGUGGCUUCAAGCUGCCUUCCACCUGGUUACUGCUUGCAGGGUGACCCCAACAGCCCUUCCAGACCAGAGUCUCCCCAAAACAGUCUGCCCUGCAGUGUCCAAUCCCUCUCCCUGGAACACUCACAAAACCCUUUCACGUUUGCUGCUCCUUUAAAGAGACAGUACACAGCACCAGCCUGUUAGUUUGGCAUAGGAUUUCACUCUUCCAUUUGAAAUGCUGAGCUGAGAUGGUUGUGUAACAAAACAAGAGCAAGUGGUGGUGUUGCCAUGUCAGCCCCAUGAUAUUAGAGAGACAAGGUGGGUGAUGCAAUAUCUUUUAUUGGACCAAUAUCUGUUGGUGAGAGAGACAUGCUUCUAGAGCCUUUCUUUAGGUCUGGGAAAGGUACUCUGGGAGCUGGUCUA